rnacentral:lncRNA from 1 species
CUAUGAGGAAGGUCAUCCUGUUCUCCCCACAAUAACUAAGUAUCCGUCAUGCCUAGAAGUUAUAUCAAAAGCACAAUUGCCUGUAAUUGCAGUGUCUUAUUAAAGCUGCAAAAAGAAAAUUUCAGCCCAAUUUAUUGGUUGAUCAUAAGUCCAGGAAGGUGGAACCGAAAAAUCGUAAACGUAAGUUCGACUAAAUUAUAAAUGUAAUACUAUUAUUACCAUUUCUAUAGCCCUGAACUUUCGCCUUUUCUGCUUUCGAAAGGAAGAAUAGAGGAAGUGCUCUUUCUCAAUAUGGUUCCGGCUCGUUAAAAGGAGCCAGAACAAGGAAGGAUAUCUGAUCCUUUUGCUUCUAAGCCGGACAUUGUUUCUCAGCGUCCUAUCAAGAGGAAGGAAAAUCCCAGGUGGAGGAGCACCAGGUCUUAACAAGUUCCUUGUGAUGCAUCAUCGGCUACAAAAGGAAUUAAAAGAUGCAAUUUGUAAUGACGCAAAUCCCAUCCUGAUGGAAAUGAGUCAUCAUAUUCUGCUUAACUUCAAUAUGGAAGGAUGCAGGCAGGGAAGGUUGCAAGGAUAGCACACAACACUUCAAUCGUUCGUUCCAAUAAGGGGG